GGGGGCAACCCUGAUCCAGCCAUGCCGCGUGAGGGAUGAAGGCCUUCGGGUUGUAAACCUCUUUUAGCAGGGAAGAUGGAUGGGAUGGACGGGUCCGAGAUAGUUGGACCGUCUCUUUACGUGCCGCCUGGUCUAAUAUAUGCCCGCGGUUAUAAUAAUAG
rnacentral:rRNA from 1 species